ACCUGGGUGGCUCAGUCGGUUGAGCAUCUGACUUCAGCUCAGGUCACGAUCUCAUGGUUUGUGAGUUCAAGCCCCACAUCGGGCU
rnacentral:tRNA from 1 species